rnacentral:piRNA from 1 species
UGAAAUGAGAGGAGUUGAGAUGGACAC